CAGAGACAGCAGGAAAAUGGGUCCUGUGUAAUUAUGACUUCCAGGCCCGCAACAGCAGUGAGCUGUCGGUCAAGCAGCGGGACGUACUGGAGGUCCUGGAUGACAGUCGUAAGUGGUGGAAGGUUCGGGACCCAGCGGGGCAGGAGGGAUAUGUGCCCUACAACAUCCUGACACCCUACCCCGGACCCCGGCUGCACCACAGCCAAAGCCCUGCCCGCAGCCUGAACAGCACUCCUCCUCCACCACCAGCCCCAGCCCCGGCCCCACCUCCAGCUCUGGCUCGGCCCCGCUGGGACAGGCCCCGCUGGGACAGCUGCGAUAGCCUCAACGGCUUGGACCCCAGCGAGAAGGAGAAAUUCUCCCAGAUGCUCAUCGUCAACGAGGAACUGCAGGCGCGCCUGGCCCAGGGCCGCUCGGGACCGAGCCGCGCAGUCCCAGGGCCCCGCGCCCCGGAACCGCAGCUCAGCCCGGGCUCGGACGCCUCCGAGGUCCGCGCCUGGCUGCAGGCCAAGGGCUUUAGCUCCGGGUGAGUGGGGCCGGGGCCCUCUCGGCGCGGGUUGAUACGGACGCUGGGAGCGGAGCGUUCCGAUCGGCCGGGAGUCGGGGGGCGGCAGUCGUGGAGACCACAGGGAGCCGGGAUUAGCCCGAAGUGAGGGUCUGUCUGGUAGCAACACCCAAUGGCAGGCUGUGAUUGCCAUGUUUUUUCAGACUCCGACUGGAUUCCUUAGGGAAAUCCCGUACCCUUUGAAAGCAGGAUGCGGCCACGCCCCCCGGGUGGCAACAUUGUGAUUGGUGGGUGGGGUUCAGGAGGUGUCGGGCCUGCCCCCGCUAGAGCUAGAAUGCUGUUCUGAUUGGACCAUCGCCGGGUGGGCGUGACAUGAUUGUCCGGGCUGGGGCAUCCGCCGACCGGCCUGACCGCGCCCGGGCUGCCCUCGCUCAGGACCGUGGACGCGCUGGGUGUGCUGACCGGGGCGCAGCUUUUCUCGCUGCAGAAGGAGGAGCUGCGGGCGGUGAGCCCCGAGGAGGGGGCACGUGUGUACAGCCAGGUCACCGUGCAGCGCUCGCUGCUGGAGGACAAAGAGAAAGUGUCAGAGCUGGAGGCAGUGAUGGAGAAGCAAAAGAAGAAGGUGGAAGGCGAGGUGGAAAUGGAGGUCAUUUGACCUGCCAGGCGCCCUUCGCAAAGAGUGACGAGGCCCCGUGGGAGAACGGACUCCUCAGACUCUCCCCAAUAGCGGAAGUCGAUCUUCUGAAGGAUGGCCAAUCUGCUCCGGCCCUGGUCUUCCCCCAUCCCGGUGGACAGACUUAACGAUCCUUGCUGCAGUCCCUCCGGAGAGGAUCUGGACUGGCUGGGAGUGGGGAGGGCGUGGAGACAGUCUACGGAAAGCGCUAGCAGACCCCCGAGAGGGUGCAGUGGAGCCCUGAGCAUUGUAAUAUGCGGCCCAGCCUAUAAACAGCCUCCGUGCUU
rnacentral:lncRNA from 1 species